UAUGGACCAAUACGGCGCCGUUUUGGAGCCACUGAUCAAACUCCAAACGGCGUCGUUUCAUGCAUCACGGAAGGGCCAAAACCCUAAUAUGGCAGCCACCUCUUCUCCUUUUUUAAAACGAAAAGAAAAAGAUAAGUAAAGGGAAAAUAAAAAAAAGGGAGAAUGCUCUCCUCUUUGCGCCGCUUUGCGCAUUGAGGGCGUUCAGACGGCUUUCGAACCUAGCCCGUUCUCCGACGACGACGAAGAGGGCUAAGAUCGCACUACCAGGUGUACGGAGGCGCGGACGUGGCACAUACGUGGGAGAGGCAUGCUCGUGCGGAGGUGACAGAGGCUAGGGCAGGAGCGGCUAUACGUGCGUAGGCGCAACACGCGCAAGGAGAAGGCCUGGUGGUUACGGCGCUAGUUGGGGUUGAUGCUAGGGUUUCCCCUUCUGUUGGGUUAGUCGGGCCAGGGUAUUGGGCUUAGGUUUAGGUUUAGGCUAAUGGGGUUUGUACUGGGCCAUAACGGAUUAGCAAUUUGGGCUAGACAUUGGGUUAAAAUAAUUUGGGCCACGUUAGGCCCAUGUGUUUGGACUGUGGACUUUGAUUAUAUUUGUUUUUUCAUUUGGUUUACUUUAGUAGCGGGCCGGGCAAAAUUUGGGCUUAACAAUAUAUAUUGUGAAUCAUCCUCUUCUAUA